AAAGGGCCGCGGUAAUUUGACCGUGCGAAGGUAGCACAAUCACUUGCUUUUUAAUUGGAAGCUGGAAUGAACGGCUGGAUGAGAGAUUAAGUGUCUUUAUACUACAAGUAAAAUUUUACUUUUAAGUGAAAAGGCUUAAAUUUUAUUAAGUGAAGAUAAGACCCUAUAAAACUUAUAUAAAAGUGGGAUAUGUUGGGUUUAAUAAUGUGUAAAGCUAAAUAAAUCAAAUUAUAUUCUGUUGGGGCGACAAUAAUAGAAUGCGUAUCUGUUGUUUAUAAUGAGUUAGUGGUGGUUAAGAACUGAGCCUUUUAUAGGGAUUAAAAGAACAAGUUACUUUAGGGAUAACAGCGUGAUUUUCUUUGAGAGAUCUAAUCGACAAGAGUAGUUGCGACCUCGAUGUUGAAUUAAAAUUUUCUAUAAAGUGCAGAAGCUUUAUUAGUGAGUCUGUUCGACUCUUAAAAUUUUACGUGAUCU
rnacentral:rRNA from 1 species